AUGUCGGUAGUGCAAUUGGUUAAGCGCAUGUUCCUAGAAAACGUGAAAAGCGAGUUUAAGUCCCGCCUGACAUC